UGGGGAAUUUUGGACAAUGGGCGCAAGCCUGAUCCAGCCAUACCGCGUGAGUGAAGAAGGCCUUCGGGUUGUAAAGCUCUUUCAGACGGAAAGAAGCGGUUACGGCUAAUACCCGUGACUAAUGACGGUACCGUAAGAAGAAGCACCGGCUAACUACGUGCCAGCAGCCGCGGUAAUACGUAGGGUGCGAGCGUUAAUCGGAAUUACUGGGCGUAAAGCGUGCGCAGGCGGUUUGGUAAGACAGAUGUGAAAUCCCCGGGCUUAACCUGGGAACUGCAUUUGUGACUGCCAGACUAGAGUGUAGCAGAGGGGGGUAGAAUUCCACGUGUAGCAGUGAAAUGCGUAGAUAUGUGGAGGAAUACCAAUGGCGAAGGCAGCCCCCUGGGCUAACACUGACGCUCAUGCACGAAAGCGUGGGGAGCAAACAGGAUUAGAUACCCAGUAGUCCCUGAGCGGGCUGGCAAGGCGCAU
rnacentral:rRNA from 1 species